CGAUGGUAUUGUCUCCUCCCAGGAGCAUUUACACACAGAAGCUGAAAGUGUUCAUGGGUGUAUUUACCUCUGUGUGUCUGCCAUCUAUGUGCAGAUGACUGCAGAGGCCACGAACAGGGCGUUAGAUCCCCUGGGACUUGAGUUGCCAGCCAUUGUUAACCAGCCCUCAUCUAGCAGCUGGUGGAAGUAGAAGCAGACACCCACAACUAAUCACUGGACUGAACUGUAAUUCAGAUGCAGAGAAGGACGAGUGAAGAGCAAAGGGGUCCGGACCAGGCUGGUGAAACCCACAGAAACAGCUGACCUGAACAUCGGGUAACUCUUGCUCCCCAGACUGAUAGCUGGGAUACCAACAUGGGACUGAUCCAGACCCCAGGAACAUGAGUUUGUGUGAAGAAACCUCGGAAAUCUACGGAACCUCCUGU
rnacentral:lncRNA from 1 species